rnacentral:rRNA from 1 species
AGUGAACGCUGGCGGUAGGCCUAACACAUGCAAGUCGAACGGCAGCACAGUAAGAGCUUGCUCUUACGGGUGGCGAGUGGCGGACGGGUGAGGAAUACAUCGGAAUCUACUUUUUCGUGGGGGAUAACGUAGGGAAACUUAUGCUAAUACCGCAUACGACCUACGGGUGAAAGCAGGGGAUCUUCGGACCUUGCGCGAUUGAAUGAGCCGAUGUCGGAUUAGCUAGUUGGCGGGGUAAAGGCCCACCAAGGCGACGAUCCGUAGCUGGUCUGAGAGGAUGAUCCGCCACACUGGAACUGAGACACGGUCCAGACUCCUACGGGAGGCAGCAGUGGGGAAUAUUGGACAAUGGGCGCAAGCCUGAUCCAGCCAUACCGCGUGGGUGAAGAAGGCCUUCGGGUUGUAAAGCCCUUUUGUUGGGAAAGAAAAGCAGCAGGUUAAUACCCCGCUGUUCUGACGGUACCCAAAGAAUAAGCACCGGCUAACUUCGU